CAGCCGCCACGGUAAUACGGAGGGGGCUAGCGUUGUUCGGAAUUACUGGGCGUAAAGCGCACGUAGGCGGCUUGGUAAGUUAGAGGUGAAAGCCCGGAGCUCAACUCCGGAAUUGCCUUUAAGACUGCCGAGCUAGUAGGUGAGAGAGGUAAGUGGAAUUCCGAGUGUAGAGGUGAAAUUCGUAGAUAUUCGGAAGAACACCAGUGGCGAAGGCGGCUUACUGGCUCAUUCUAGACGCUGAGGUGCGAAAGCGUGGGGAGCAAACAGGAUUAGAUACCCGUGUAGUCCCUGUCUCUUAUAC
rnacentral:rRNA from 1 species